rnacentral:tRNA from 1 species
GCGGGUGUAGCUCAGUUGGUAGAGCGUCGGCUUCCCAAGCCGAAGGUCGCGGGUUCGAUCCCCGUCGCCCGCU